CCAUGAUUAAGUGCAGGCCAGAAAUUCAAAGGAAAUUUAGACUAUCAGAAGAAUUCAAUUCUAAUGCGACAUUUGAGGACAAUAUGGUUGGAGCUUAUAUCAACCACAACAGAAGAAAGUGCUUGAGUGAAUUAAUGGAGAAACAUUGUACAACCUAAAGAAUUCACAAGUUUCAUGUACUGAAGGGCAAGAUGUCACAUUUCACAGAACUGAUAUGCUUCUGAGAAUUGACAUGGGACAGCCUGAGAAGGAAGGCGUAAAGAUCCAUUUUCACUUUGGAUGGCUUUGCUGCACAGAAAACAAGAUCUGAUCCCCUUGUUUGACUACUGGGAUUACAGGCGCACCUUCUAAAGACAACCAAAGAGCCCUUCAGCCCAAGCAAACAGUUGACCUGAGAAGCCUGCAGAAGGAUUAUUUUUAAGUGCAGGGUUGCUUUUCAAGAAACCCCAAAAUAACAAAAGCAGAUCAGCAGUAGUUUCUUUUAUCUGAUGGCGAGUUCCUGUAAAUCCUGAACAGAAUCAUGGAAUAGAUUGCCAAAUCUUUAAGAUCCAUAACUACAUUUAUCUGGAGAGAAGGAUUUGAUGUGCUGCAUUUACUCAUUACUUAAGCUUUGGGGCUGACACCAAUGUUCUGUGGGGAUUCUCUUUAGUUCACAUAAUAUAUGGCAAAAUAUUCUUUCACACAGAAACAUUUUCUGACACAAUAAAAAAUGUUCAUCUACCAAUUCUCAAUUUCCUCUUCCUUACUCAAUCAAAACAGUGCUCCAGCAGAAACUCUGAACGUUGGUUUUGAAGCUGGU
ensembl:lncRNA